UACGUAGGGUCCGAGCGUUGUCCGGAAUUAUUGGGCGUAAAGGGCUCGUAGGCGGUCUGUUGCGUCGGGAGUGAAAACUUACAGCUUAACUGUGAGCGUGCUUCCGAUACGGGCAGACUUGAGGUAUUCAGGGGAGAACGGAAUUCCUGGUGUAGCGGUGAAAUGCGCAGAUAUCAGGAGGAACACCAAUAGCGAAGGCAGCUCGCUGGGACGUUACUGACACUGAGGCGCGAAAGCGUGGGGAGCGAACAGG
rnacentral:rRNA from 1 species